UUUUUCUUUUUUUUUUUAUUUUUAGAGAGCCAGCUUCUUACUCCAUCACUCAGGCUGUACUGCAGUGAUCAUAGCUCACUGCAGCCUCGUACUACUGGGCUCAAGCAAUCCUCCUGCCUCAGCCUCCCAAGCAGCUAGGCCUACAGCCAUGAGCCACCACACCUGGGUAAUUUCUUCAAAAAAGCAAAGACAGAGUCUUGCUGUCUUGCCCAAGCUAGUCUCAAACUCCUGAGCUCAAGCGAUCCUCCCACCUCAGCCUCCCAAAGCUCUGGGAUUGCAGGCGUGAGCCUGGCUAACAAAGAAAUUUAUUGGAAAGUUGUGAGGGGCACCUCGUGGAGUCAAAGGAAAGGCUGAAGAACAAACUGAGAGGGCAACAGAAAGCCAAAUACCUCCAAGGAUCCAGGUAGCAGGAGUUAUUGAACUGUCUGUUUAGGUUUUGUGUUGAGAUUCAAAUCAAGGGAAAGAGGUUGAGUGUUCUGGUUUGGGUUAGAAGUCCAUCCUUGGCCUGGGGAGAAGAGGACCCACCAAUACCAUAGCCAACGGGAGAGGGGUCAUUCUACAAAGCAGGAAAUAACUGUAUUGCACUUAGUAAGGAUGUUGUAAGCUUCCACUAGCUAGCAUUACUAAUUCAUCCUGAUUUGCCUGGUUUUGCCACUGAAAGUUCCAUGUCCUGGGAAAUCCCUCAGUCCCAAGCAAAGCAAGUCAGCUGGUCAUCCUACAACCAACAGGGUGGUGAUCCUGAGUUGGCUGUGAAAAAUCCCCCAGAGGCAAUUCCCGACUGGAUAUGGUGUCUCACACCUGUAAUCCCAGCACUUUGGGAGGCCGAGGUGGGAGGAUCACUUGAGCUCAGGAGUUCGAGACCAGCCUGGGCAACAUAGUGAGACCUCAUCUCUACUUUUAAUUUAAAAAUGUUUUCAAAUAUAUUAAAAACCAAAGGCAAUGCCCAGAAGACUUAAUAACAUGGAUGUCUAAUAUUCAAUUUUAAGAUGCUUGCUGUGCCAAGCUGGGAUCUAGUGCCCCACCGGCUGCUCUAGACCAUCAGCAUAAUUAACUUUUGCACUCAGCCUAGAGGGAGGCUAGAAUGUGCUCCCAGUGAACUCAACUCAACUAACUACAUCUGAGCUAAAUACACUGACCUAAGUCUCAGAGAGGCUCAGUCUCUUGUCCAAAGUCAUAUAGACAGUAAGUGGUAGAGACAGGGUUACAACUAAAGUCUGUCUGAGUCAAUACCUCUGCUACCUCUUCCCUACCUUUGCCCUACUCUGGGAAGGUCCAAUACUGCCAACAACCUUGAGACUCCAAGGGUCUAUGGGACUUGAGCUCUCACGUAGCUUCAGGAGGGCCUCAGCAGGCCCAGCUCACAGAGGUUCGGGUGCAUGAGGUGGCACAGGGUGUGUAGAGAGAGAGAGAGAGAGAGAGACAGAGAGAGAGAGAGAGAGAGAGAGAAAGAGAGAGAGAAAGACAGAGAGAGAGCAGCCCUGCACCACCCAGUAGGAGUGCUUAUGUAGCAGGUACAGAGAAAGAUCCAUAUUUCCAGUCCCGCUGACCCUAAUCCAUGGCCUCUGAGAGAACAGGAUGGAGGCUAAGGGUGCCUGGGACCCCAGGCUCUCCCUGCAGCCUCCCCUGGCCUGUGCCCCCCUCCUCAGAAUGGGGUUCCCCGGAAGGGUCUGGGUGAGGCCCCACAGGCCUUCCUUAAAAGCACUCACAUCCAUCACCCUCUGUCCCUCUGUGCCCACUCUCCACUCCAGAGCCCUACAGGCUCUGACCCCUGCCUGCUUCUCUCACUCGCAUGCUGUACUCCUCCUCACCCUCUCCCUCACC
rnacentral:lncRNA from 1 species